rnacentral:rRNA from 1 species
GACAGAGGGGGCAAGCGUUGCUCGGAAUCACUGGGCGUAAAGGGCGCGUAGGCGGGAUGGCAAGUCAGUCGUGAAAUCUCUCGGCUCAACCGAGAAACGUCGGCUGAUACUGCCGUUCUUGAGGGAUGCAGAGGAGACUGGAAUUCCCGGUGUAGCGGUGAAAUGUGUAGAGAUCGGGAGGAACACCGGUGGCGAAGGCGGGUCUCUGGACAGUUCCUGACGCUGAGGCACGAAAGCGUGGGGAGCGAACAGG